rnacentral:rRNA from 1 species
GACGAACGCUGGCGGCGUGCCUAAUACAUGCAAGUAGAACGCUGAAGGAGGAGCUUGCUUCUCUGGAUGAGUUGCGGACGGGUGAGUAACGCGUAGGUAACCUGCCUGGUAGCGGGGGAUAACUAUUGGAAACGAUAGCUAAUACCGCAUAAGAGUAGAUGUUGCAUGACAUUUGCUUAAAAGGUGCAAUUGCAUCACUACCAGAUGGACCUGCGUUGUAUUAGCUAGUUGGUGAGGUAACGGCUCACCAAGGCGACGAUACAUAGCCGACCUGAGAGGGUGAUCGGCCACACUGGGACUGAGACACGGCCCAGACUCCUACGGGAGGCAGCAGGAGGGAAUCUUCGGCAAUGGACGGAAGUCUGACCGAGCAACGCCGCGUGAGUGAAGAAGGUUUUCGGAUCGUAAAGCUCGGUUGUAAGAGAAGAACGAGUGUGAGAGUGGAAAGUUCACACUGUGACGGUAUCUGACCAGAAAGGGACGGCUAACUACGUG